UCAGCUGCCUGGCCACGCGUCCAAGGCUGCGGGGGCUCGGGGCAGCCAGCAGGUGAUGUCAGGGGCAGGGAAAAGAAAGCACUAGGUGUUGACUCCUUUUUCUCUUCCUGUUCAGGAGGUAUGACCAAAAGUCAAAUAAGAGGAUGAUAAAAAUAAUUGCCAGCACUUAACGAGUGUUAUGUGCCAGGUACUGUAAAUCCAUGGCGUAUUUAGGAAUGCCUUACAGCCAUUGCAUAAAGGCUGUACUGUUAUUAUACCCAUUUUACAGAAAAAGAAAGUGAAGGCUAGCGAAAUGAAGUUCCAGUCUUGGUCUCUUGAGGAUCUGAGAACUAUAAUCCACAGGCUAAAGCUAACCUACUGCCUGUUUGUACAAAUAAAGUUUUAAUGGAACACAGUCAUGCCAUUUGUUGCAUACUGUUUAUGGCUACUGUAUGGCAGGGUUGAGUAGUUGUGACAGAGACCAUAUGGCCCACAAAGCUGAAAAUAUUUCCUAAUGGUCCAUAAGAGAAGAAAGUAGACUUUUUAUCUAUCUGACUGUAGAGUCCACUUGAUGUAGAAUCCCCACUUCAGUCAAUGUUCAGAAUAUUCUAAUCAUAAAAGAAUGGAAAACGUGGCAGAAGUGCAAGGCGGUCUAGACUAGGGAGUGUGAUAAUCUAGAUUCUGGUCUUAAUUCUGUAAAAAGUAACAUUAGGUCCUUGGAAGAGUCACUCUUAACUCCUAAGAAAUCUUUUUUUUCCCUGAUCUGCUCAUUAAAGCCACACUGCCAAGCUUCCAAAUUAAAAGGUUCCCCAAACACUUUUUCUGGUUUACAAAAAGCUAUUUUAACUGAUCAAAUAAAAUGCAUUUUUUACCAGUUCUCCAUGGCAACACUCACAGCUCUCGCCAGAUAACCUUUUGAAGUCCUAUUUCUGCAUGUUAGGGGUACGGCACCUCUGGGCAGAAAGAUGUUUCAGAAUGGGAAUAUAGUAUCUGUUUAACUUAUUUUUGUUCUGUUUUUGUGAAUGCCAGGGUUUCCUUCCACUGAAACCACCUGAGCCUGAAGCUUUCUCUGGGAAGACUGAAGGCUGAUGUGAAGAGUAACAUAAAAAUCCCCAACGGAUUGCAUUUCAAGCUGCGAAUCAGCACAGACAGCUCCUACACACUGUGGGCUUGCAAUCAGCGCGGGGACCUAGGGAACAAGAGAGUCUUCCAUUGCAGGACGAAGAUGAGAAGUCAUUUUAAUCUCAGGGAGUCUUAGUCUUCGGCCAUCUGUGCUCCACCCAUCCAGAAGGAAGGUGGUUCUCUCCCACUCAGCAACACAAGCCGGCAGCAGCACCACCAGCCCGCUGCUCGUCGCCAUGGCAACAACCACAGUCUCCCCGACUCCUACUCAGCCUCUGCUCCCAUCUCCCCUCCUGGAGCCAGACUCAGCCUCGCGCUCCCCCUCAGAUAUCCUUUUGAAAAGGAUAGACAAACUCUAGCAAGGAUAAAUUGGACCUCUCUCUUGUUCCCUCAGAAAACCAUGUUGCUAUGCAGCUCUGUAUUUAACAAAUCAAUGGACUUCACCAUGUCAUGGGAGUUUGAAACAGAGAAGUCAUUUCUUGGCAGUGAGUGGAAAACCAUAUUUUAAAAAAUUCACGGUGAGAUCAUAGUGUUGAAAUCCAGGCUCUGUUGGGUGAGAUGGGGCGGGGGAAGGUGGUUUCAGUUUGCCAAAAUUCCCUUUACAAAUCAAAUGCUAAGCCUACAGAAUCUGGAUGACUGUAUUUUAUCUUAAGCCCUAGU